UAGGGAAUCUUCGGCAAUGGGGGGAACCCUGACCGAGCAACGCCGCGUGAGUGAAGAAGGUUUUCGGAUCGUAAAGCUCUGUUGUUAAGGAAGAACGAGUGUGAGAAUGGAAAGUUCAUACUGUGACGGUACUUAACCAGAAAGCCACGGCUAACUACGUGCCAGCAGCCGCGGUAAUACGUAGGUGGCAAGCGUUAUCCGGAAUUAUUGGGCGUAAAGCGCGCGUAGGCGGUUUUUUAAGUCUAAUGUGAAAGCCCACGGCUCAACCGUGGAGGGUCAUUGGAAACUGGAAAACUUGAGUGCAGAAGAGGAAAGUGGAAUUCCAUGUGUAGCGGUGAAAUGCGCAGAGAUAUGGAGGAACACCAGUGGCGAAGGCGACUUUCUGGUCUGUAACUGACGCUGAUGUGCGAAAGCGUGGGGAUCAAACAGG
rnacentral:rRNA from 1 species